rnacentral:lncRNA from 1 species
GGGACCCGGCGGCGCGGCGUGGGUCGGGAGCGGGCGCCUGGGACUACUUCUCGUUUGAAAGUUUUCAGAGGCCAAAAGUUUGAGCCGGGGCUGCGGAAGGAUCCGGCUCUGGCCGUUGCCGCGCUCGGCGACAACUGGCGACGGAAAUUUGCAUGCCCCGUGGCCGCGGCUUUAGGCGUCCAGAGGAUCGAUCGCCGCCAGACAUCCCUGGCCGUGAUUACCCGAGCACUUGACCGCGAGGGAUGAGGGCGCCGCGGCCUCUGGACAGGGGGUGCUCAGGGCGCCCCGAGGGAGCAGCCGGGACCAGUGCCUCGCGGACGGAUUGUGCCCCGCUCCCCCAAGGGGGACCCGCGUCGACACGCUCCUCGGUCACCGUCCUCCUCCUGCCCGGGCGCCGCCUGCCUAAGGUGGCCCCAGAAAGCACAAACGGGUCGGGCGGAUCUGCCGCUGGCGCCGGCGCAGCCCCUCCCACGUGCUCCUUCCGGCUGAUUUAUUUCUCCACCACGAUGCCAGGCACGGGCACCCUGUGCCAAGCCUGGUUAAGCGCCAGGAGUCCAAAAUGCCUGCCAUAGUCCCUGCGCAAAGUUCACGGCCUCGUGCCAGGGACAGACAGCGCCCCCUCCCCACCCCAACACAGGGUGGUGAGUGCGAUGGCAGAAGGCGCGUGUCCCGGCGCCCCUCCUGGAGUAGGAGGGCUAAGCCUGCCCUGCGGGGAGACCGAAAGGCUGGGAGGCACCUAGGACUGUGGGGGCCUGGGGGGAGGGCUGCAGAAACCCCAGAGCAUGGUGGCAGAGGCAGGCACAGAAAGCAGGACAAAUCUCACACCUGACCCCAGCAAGCCUUUCCUGGCACACCUCGUGCCAAAUGCUGAGCACUCUGGAAACAGCCAGUGCAGGCGGCCUGUCCCGCCCCUGUAGCUGCUGCUGGGAGUCUCCCUCGCCUGCGUCCUCCCAGAAUCUGGCCUCACUUCUGCAGGCCUGGGGUAACAUCUUGGGGUCAGCGCCCCAGGAGAGGAGGCGCCUGGAGGCAGCAGAGAUGUUUAUGUAACAGCAGCCAGGCAGCCUGGAGGAGCAGAUUUUCCAUAGAAGGAAGCGCGGGGCUGUGCAGCUCCCAGGCUGAGGACUCUGCCCACCACGACGUCCUCUGCUCCCGAGAGAGGAGAGUGGCCCAUUCGAUGUCCACCCGUCAGGCCACCCAGCAGCCAGGCACGCUCAUAAGCCCGCGUUACGGAUGGUGCGGCUGGGUGCACAGGCCUGAGGGAAGCACAGGCCUCGGCCUCCCAGCUCCCAACCCCUGCACCACCCACAGCCGGGAGUACCCCAUGGACAGCUGUGGCCGAGGAGAAGCCAGGGAUGAGGGGGAUGGGCCUCACCUCCCCACCAGCCUGGGAAGGGGGUGGGCCCCUGGCAAGUAGAGGGAAGCUGAGGCUCAGAGACAUCAGGAGGAUGCCAGCUCAAGGUCCAGCCAGGCCUUGGUCCUCAGCUGCUGUCAUCCAGUAGGUGACUGUAAAAAACAUCUGACCUGCGUGCAAAGCUCAAGCCCAGAGGCCUCCAGGGUGUCCAGCCUCCAGGGUGCCUCCUACGCAGCCUCCACGUCCCCAUCCACUGCAGCCGCUGACCAUCGGGCACACCGUGGGGCCUUCGCUGGCCGCCGGGCCUCAGGUUCUGCUGCACCAAGUGAUUUUUAAAGCCCCAUCUGCCUUUCUC